UACGGAGGGUGCAAGCGUUGUUCGGAAUUACUGGGCGUAAAGAGCGUGCAGGUGGUUUUUUAAGUUUCGUGUGAAAGCCCACGGCUCAACCGUGGAAUGGCACGGAAAACUGGAAGACUUGAGUACGGGAGAAGAGGGCGGAAUUCCCAGUGUAGAGGUGAAAGUCGUAGAUAUUGGGAGGAACACCGAUGGCGAAAGCGGCUCUCUAGACCGAUACUGACACUCAUACGCGAGAGCGUGGGUAGCAAACAGG
rnacentral:rRNA from 1 species